AAGGCCUUCGUGAAGAAGCUUGCCCGUGCCGGCUUCGCGAGGCAUCAUGCAGGGGUCAGCCGCCAUGGUCCUGAGGGGCUCAGAGAGAAUUCUCGUGGGCAAACUUGUCAGCACUCAACCGGGAAGGACUGAUUCUCCCAAAGCGGCCGGGAAGUUCCAGCCUCUCAAGCUCUCUUCCUUCUGACCGAUGACCGUGCAGGGCUCCAACAGCCCCUUGCUGCCCUGUGGCACCUGUCUGCCGGGCAUGACUUUUGGCUUGUUUGAGGAGAGCAAGAGAAGCCAGGGCGGCGCAAGCAGAUGUGAUGAACGCAGCUCCGCUUCCCAAGGCCAAUGUGAGUCUCACUUGUGGCUGGAGAGCACCUGAGAUCUCUCCAGGUCCAGGGAACUCAUGCUUUGUGCACCCAGAGCCCUCGCUGCCUUGGUGCAAAGCCCCACUGGAGAGUUAAUUAGCAAGAUGUCAGCAACUCCCAAAUGCCACACCUGUCAGACACUGGCUCCCUCGGGUCCCCAGGAGAACGUGUUCAAGCUGUAAGUAAGUAAUAUAUACAGACGCAUAUGCUUUGUAUAUAUGUACACAGAGAUGCACGUAUACACGCACGCGUACAUAUAUGCACGUAUCAGACACACACAUAUGAGAAAAGAGGGGACAGAUCGAACGUGCGAGCACACACCCCAUUUUGUCCUCACGGCAUUAUGAAAUGGUACAUUUUCUUCGUCUAACUGAUGAGGAAACUGAGAGUCUAAGAGGUUAAGUCACAGGGCCAGAAGUGGCAGAGCUAAGAAUCUGAACCCAGUCCUGCAUGUCUCCAGAGCUCUUAACCGAGAGCCCCGCUUUCCCUCUAGUGUCGCCGUCCCGGCAGGCUGCUGUUGGUUGUGGUACGUCCUAAUGCCCCAUAAUUACUGGGUUCGACCCGGCCUCCAGAACAACUGUGACAAAAUUUGUGGAAAUGUUCACAACAGCUCUCGACUUCCAGGUUCUGAGAUCAGAAACGGAAGUUUCAAAAUACCGAAAGUUCGUUUAUGUUGAACACACUGCUUAGGCUAAAAGCAGGAAGUCCGAGAAAGCCUGAUCUCAUGAGAUUUUCAGCCCAAUUUGGAUCCACAUCUGCACUUCUGGAUUUUCCACUGAGUCCAACCACCCUCAGCUGCUCUGAGCUUCUGCCAUUUCACCGACCCUCCACCUCCCGCACAGGGCAUCGAUAAGUAAUAAAAUAUGCUGCAAUUCACGAAGACGUAUCCGGUGAUUGGCCGGUUGCAAGGUGAUGAGCUGGGAUAGUCAGGAGCGAGGAACAAUUGAAGUCUGAAAAGCAUUCAUGUUGCUUUUUGUAAAGUUACAAAAAAAAAAAAAAAAGCAAAACACACAAAAGCUCGAAACAAUAAG